CGGAUGAGCAGUGUUGGUCCGGAGGGGGUGCACUGAUUCCUGGGGGAUGUUAUGUGUGCGUAAAUGACAAGAAACCACACACACACACCUAUGUACACCCGCUGUGUUUACAGCCCCAGAAAUUGAGUGAUAACAAUAAAGUGCCUCAAACGGAACCUCAAGCUCCCUCCUUCUUUCAUACUCUGGGACAAUUUGGCCUUAAGUGGUGUUCUGGCCGACACCGGGGUGACUGUAGUGCUCAAAGACUGAAUCAGUACCACAGCCGUGCCUAUCUUUGAUAUCUCCACUACACUUGGGGAACACAAAGUGCAGUCUUAGCAGCAAAUCAAUUUAUGUGUCCUCGCUGUUUGAGAUAAAGGGAGGACUUGCGGUCUGAUCUAACAUGCUUUGUUGAGGUAUGGAGACCAUCUGGCCUUUAGACUGGUGACGUGCUGCGGUGCUACUCUACUACACGUGACAAUUUUCAUCUAUUAUAAUACGUCUCCAGUUUUCAUGGAGACGUAUUAUAGCUGUACCUUGGAGUUCAUAUAGUGAGUAACUAUGCAGAGAGUUUAUUAUGGCUGUUUACUGCGCUGUGGUAAAUCCACUCUGCUGCAGAUCAUGGGUUUUAACUCCUGUUGUGAGUUACUAAUGCUCUAGUGUGUGAUGAAUCAGAUGCAUUUUAAUUUGACCCAGCAUGCCAGAAUGCAAACUGUUCUCAGCGGUGGCAGUCAUCUGAGCUUUCCUUUAUACAUGCAAAGAACAACAGUUAGAAAGCUUCUCUAAUUAACUCAGCUGCUUAAGGUUUCUAAUUUAUAUAUCAUAAAAGGAAAUUUGGUUUCUGUAUCUAUAACUUUCUGGUGAUAUACACCUUUGCCCAUAUUAUGCUUUUAUUGUCUGUGGGCAAGUGUUUCAAAUUGUGAGUGUUAAAUGCGCGAGUUAGGGUUUCACCUCCAAUACCUGUAUAAAAGAUUGCUGUGUAAAUAUAGUGUGCAAAAAAACAAAAACAGAUCUUGUUUCAGAUUAAUACAGAGAAAAGAAAUCCCUUGUAGAAAUGUAGUUCUGCAGGUGUUUCAAAAUCAAAUACCUGCAGAACUACAAUCUCUAUUCCA